UACGGGGGGAGCAAGCGUUGUUCGGAUUUACUGGGCGUAAAGGGCGCGUAGGCGGCGUGACAAGUCACUUGUGAAAUCUCCGGGCUUAACUCAGAACGGUCAAGUGAUACUGUCGUGCUAGAGUACAGAAGGGGCAACUGGAAUUCUCGGUGUAGCGGUGAAAUGCGUAGAUAUCGAGAGGAACACCUGCGGCGAAGGCGGGUUGCUGGGCUGAUACUGACGCUGAGGCGCGAAAGCCAGGGGAGCGAACGGG
rnacentral:rRNA from 1 species